rnacentral:rRNA from 1 species
GACGAACGCUGGCGGCGGGCUUAACACAUGCAAGUCGAACGGAAGGGCCCAGCUUUUGUGGUGUGCUCGGGUGGCGAAAGGGGGAGUAACACGGGAGUAACCUGCCCUUGAGUUUGGGAUAACUUCAGGAAACUGGGGCUAAUACCGGAGAGGAGCACCUGCUGCAGGGGGGGGGUUGGAAAGUUUCGGCGGGUGGGGCUGGACUUGCGGCAUAUCAGGUUGUUGGGGGGGUAGUGGGUUACCAAGGCUUUGGGGGGUAGCGGGCCGGCACAGGGGACCGGCGACACUGGGACUGCUACACCGCCCAGAAGCCUACGGGAGGCAGAAGUGAGGAAUAUUGGCCAAUGGGAGGAAGCCUGAGUGAGCAACGCAGGGUGCGGGAGGACUGACCUCGUUUUGUAAGGCGAGUUAGACAGUGACGAAGCUAGACUGACGGUACCUGGUAAAGAAGCACCGGCUAACUACGUG